rnacentral:tRNA from 1 species
AGAGUUGUGACUCAGUGGUGGAGCACUUGCUAGGCAAGCAUGAGACACUGGGUUCAAUCCCCAGCACCACAA